CAGAGCGAACGUUAGCGGCGGGCCUAACACAUGCAAGUCGAGCGAGAAAGGGGGUUCGCCCCCGAGUACAGCGGCGGACGGGUGAGUAACACGUAGGUAAUUUUCCCUUGAGCGGGGACAACGUUCCGAAAGGGACGCUAAUACCGCAUAAGUUCCUGAGCGCCUCGGCGUUUGGGAGGAAAGCUAGGCCGCAAGGUCCGGCACUCGAGGAGAAGCCUGCGUCGCAUCAGCUAGUUGGUGGGGUAAUGGCCUACCAAGGCUAAGACGCGUAGCUGGUCUGAGAGGAUGAUCAGCCACACUGGGACUGAGACACGGCCCAGACUCCUACGGGAGGCAGCAGUGGGGAAUAUUGGACAAUGGGCGCAAGCCUGAUCCAGCCACGCCGCGUGAGUGAUGAAGGCCUUCGGGUCGUAAAGCUCUGUGGGGAGGGACGAACCGCUGCACGUUCAUAUCGUGCAGCAUGACGGUACCUCCUUAGCAAGCACCGGCUAACUUCGUGC
rnacentral:rRNA from 1 species